CCUACGGGGCGCAGCAGUGGGGAAUUUUCCGCAAUGGGCGAAAGCCUGACGGAGCAAUGCCGCGUGGAGGUAGAAGGCCCACGGGUCGUGAACUUCUUUUCCCGGAGAAGAAGCAAUGACGGUAACUGGGGAAUAAGCAUCGGCUAACUCUGUGCCAGCAGCCGCGGAAAUACGAAGGGGGCUAGCGUUGCUCGGAAUGACUGGGCGUAAAGGGCGCGUAGGCGGUUUAUGCAGUCAGAUGUGAAAUCCCCGGGCUCAACCUGGGAACUGCAUCUGAUACUGGCAAGCUUGAGUCUCGUAGAGGGGGGUAGAAUUCCAGGUGUAGCGGUGAAAUGCGUAGAGAUCUGGAGGAAUACCGGUGGCGAAGGCGGCCCCCUGGACGAAGACUGACGCUCAGGUGCGAAAGCGUGGGGAGCAAACAGGAUUAGAUACCCCAGUAGUC
rnacentral:rRNA from 1 species